rnacentral:rRNA from 1 species
AGUAACACGUUGGAACCUGCCCCAAAGUAAGGGAUAAGCCACCGAAAGGUGGUCUAAUACCUUAUAGUAUCCAUCUCGUAUGGAUUAAAGCUUUAUGCGCUUUGGGAGGGGCCUGCGUUUGAUUAGCUAGUUGGUGAGGUAAAAGCUCACCAAGGCGACGAUCAAUAGCUGGUUUGAGAGGAUGACCAGCCACACUGGGACUGAGAUACGGCCCAGACUCCUACGGGAGGCAGCAGUAAGGAAUCUUCCACAAUGGGGCAACCCUGAUGGAGCAAUACCGCGUGCAGGAUGAAGCGUUUCGGCGUGUAAACUGCUUUUAUCACCGAAGAUUAUGACUGUAGGUGAAGAAUAAGGACCGGCUAACUACGUG